GACCACUCGCCACUCCCCUUCUCUCCCAUGAGCCUGAUUGAGCCAUGACCUCCCUAUUCGAAGGUGAGCUUCACUGCAUUGAGCUUCACCUAGAGACAAAUCAAACCACCCAGUGAACUUCACUGCACUCACGCAAGAACGAUACACCUCACUCAUAUUGUAUCACACCCUAUGGCCUCGCUGGCGACCUCACCUUCGCGGGGGCCCCGCCACCUCGCCGUGGCCAGCCGUUCAAGAUCGCCACUGGCAAAACUGGACCACCCCCGAGUUCGCCUGACCCCAGCCAUGCUAAAGCACCCCUCCGAUCCCCAAGAACCAGAUCCACGCGCGGAGAACCACCGAGGAACCUCGUCGGCGGUCGAUUCUCCCCGACCCUGACCGGUUCACCCCCAUGUCAGCUGCCUCGAUACCGUCACACAUUCCCUCUAUCUAGCACGUUGGCCCGCGCCCAUGACGCCGUCCCCGUGUGCCCGUCCCGUCUCACCUGCUCGUGGGCCGGCUGGGUCACGCCCGCGCUCGGGUGGGCCGAAAUCCCCCCGGCCCGCUAAACCAAAAUUUCAUUUCCCCUUUUUCCCUUUUCACAAUUUCAUAUACACUUGUAUUUUAAUAUUUUAUGAAGAAAUAAUGGUCGAAGCCCUUUUCUAAGUCACAUAAAAUAAUGAUAAUAAGAAUUUGACACAUUUUACUUAGCAAGACAAAUGUUUGAUGUAUUAUUUAUUGCAUUUUUUGCUAGAGGAAGCAGUGACCGACGUUCCAGAAGCCUUAGCUCCAAAGAAGGGCAGGAGCCCGACCUCUCGGAGAUAGAACCUUCGUGUUACGAGAGCUUCGACGAAGGCAAGUUCAUUCUACCCUUUUUUGAAAGGUCAAGAGGGGGAACCCCUACUGUAAAAUUUUAAUAAUAAUGUAAAAUUACAAUGCGACGUGAGUACAAGAGAUAGAUAUGAGCUGGGAAGGUCUAGCUAGGAAGCUAAGAAGAAGGAUCAUAAGAGUACAAAAGUUAUGCCUGCCACUGAUCAAGCCAGUUCGGAAUUGAGUUGUCAUAUUUCCCUCUGCUCUGUGUACAACCAACCUUAAUUCCUUGAUGAAUUCAUUCUUGCAGUGUUGUACUGAUGGGUCUUUGUUUUCAAAUAGCCACUCAUUUCGGCAUUGCCAGAUACUCCAUGUCAUGAGUAUAAUAAUCUCCAUAGAGAAAGGAACAUUAAGUUGGUGCUUGAGGUUUGUCGAGGCCUCCUCCGGAUGAGCAAUUCUAGGAGGGGUUAUGCCAAUUGAAUUCUAGUAGGCUUUUGCAAAAUUGCAUCUAAGAAAUAGGUGAUAAAGAGUUUCCUCCCUUUGCCAUAUACAGUUCUCACGAAUAUGACUCCAGUGUCAUGGUUUUCCUUCUCAGCAUAUUCCUAGUGUUCAGUCUGUUUUUAAGCCAUAACCAGUAGAAUGUUUUGGUUGGCAUUUGUUUUCCAUAGGCACUAGUAAAUAGUAUGAAUGUUUGAAUGCC
rnacentral:lncRNA from 1 species